rnacentral:rRNA from 1 species
GACGAACGCUGGCGGCGUGCUUAACACAUGCAAGUCGAACGGAAAGGCCCUGCUUUUGUGGGGUGCUCGAGUGGCGAACGGGUGAGUAACAAGUGAGUAACCUGCCCUUGACUUUGGGAUAACUUCAGGAAACUGGGGCUAAUACCGGAUAGGAGCUCCUGCUGCAUGGUGGGGGUUGGAAAGUUUCGGCGGUUGGGGAUGGACUCGCGGCUUAUCAGCUUGUUGGUGGGGUAGUGGCUUACCAAGGCUUUGACGGGUAGCCGGCCUGAGAGGGUGACCGGCAACAUUGGGACUGAUAGACGGCCCAGACUCCUACGGGAGGCAGCAGUGGGGAAUAUUGCACAAUGGGCGGAAGCCUGAUGCAGCAACGCCGCGUGCGGGAUGACGGCCUUCGGGUUGUAAACCGCUUUCGCCUGUGACGAAGCGUGAGUGACGGUAAUGUGUAAAGAAGCACCGGCUAACUAAGUG